AACGCACCUUGCGCUCCUUGGUACUCCGAGGAGCAUGCCUGUUUGAGUGUCAUUAAAUUCUCAACCCCUUCAAGGUUUUUAUUAACUUUUGAAGUUGGGCUUGGAUGUGGGGGUUGCGGGCUUUUUCAAUAAAGUCGGCUCUCCUUAAAUAUAUUAGCGGAAUCUUUUUGUGAGCCGUCUUUGGUGUGAUAAUUAUCUACGCUAUAGAUGUUUGCAUAAUACGAGGUUCAGCUUCUAACAGUCCAUUGACUUGGACAAAUCUUUAUUGACCAUUUGACCUCAAAUCAGGUAGGACUACCCGCUGAACUUAA
rnacentral:misc_RNA from 1 species